UAUUUUUCUAUCCAGAUACCACUUUUUGUUUGCUCAUUUUCAGGCACAACCUAAACAGAGAUUGGACCUCUGUCAAAGAACUAUGACAGACACGGUGGUCGAUUCACGCAACAACGCGGCGGUGCAAGCCACCAACGACGACGCAUCCGCCAGUAAAUUGUCAUGUGUAAAAAAGGGCUACAUGAAAGAUGAUUAUGUUCAUUUAUUUGUGAGAAGACCCGUGAGGAGAUCUCCAAUUAUUAAUCGUGGUUACUUUGCCCGUUGGGCUGCUAUUAGGAAACUGCUCUAUCAGUUUCUUGACAUUGAGAAGAAGGCAGAUGGAGAUGCCCCAAUAAAGAAGCAGAUAUUAUCACUUGGAGCAGGCUUUGAUACAACAUAUUUUCAGUUGCAGGACGAGGGGAAAGCACCAGAUUUGUAUGUUGAAGUGGAUUUUAAGGAGGUAACUAGUAAAAAGGCAGCUCUUAUCGAGACUAACAGUCAAUUGAGGAAUAAACUUGGUGAAACAGCAACCAUAUCAAGAGAGAAAGGAGAAGUGGUCAGUGCUCAAUAUAAACUAGUCCCUGCAGAUUUGCGUGAUGUAAAACAAUUAAAUGAUAUUAUAUCUGUUGCUGCUAUGGAUCCAAGUCUGCCAACUUUUAUAAUUUCAGAAUGUGUUCUGAUCUACUUGGAUCCAGAUUCUAGUCGUAGAAUUGUUGGUUGGGCUUCUCAAAUGUUUUCUACAGCAAUAUUUUUUCUUUAUGAGCAGAUCCUCCCUGAUGAUGCUUUUGGGCAGCAGAUGAUGAGAAAUUUGGAGUCUCGAGGUUGUGCUCUGUUGGGUAUUUAUGAUACACCAACUUUACAUGCGAAGGAAAAAUUAUUUCUGGACCAAGGAUGGCAGAAAUCUGUUGCGUGGGACAUGCUGAGAGUUUACAAUGAUUUUAUUGAUGCUCAAGAGAGACGCAGAUGGAAGGGUGAUGUGUCGAUUUUUGANCACGUGGCNGUCUGAUUUCUCUGCCUCCUNUCCCACUCCAACUCCUCCAUGGCCAUUUCCAAACCCUAGCCGCCGCACCAAACCCUUCCCAUCAAACCCUAGCCGCCGCACCAGAUCCGUCGUCGGCAGUCGUACCCCAACAGAUCAACACGCAUUCAACCAUCAACGACGACCACCACUCUCUCAAUCUCCACCGCAGAAGCCACCGGUAGCCCCCAUCAAAGCACCGCUGCAUUCAUCUUUUCCUCCAUCACCGACCUCCAAAGCUUUGCCGAACUCCUCUGUUAGCCGUCGCAGGUCACGAGGCCUCCUUCUCCUUCAUCUUCAUCAACCUAAAAAUCCCAAACAACAGAGUUCUCUACCAAAUCGCACCAUGGCCGCCGCGCUUUCUAUCAUCUGCGAGCACCUCCUCCACUCCCAAACUCCAUGGAAACCGUGAAGCAUCUUCACGAGUCUGCGCCACCACCUGCAUCAAAACCAGACCUGCAACAAACAAACCCAGAAGCAGAAAAUCCAAUUCCAGGAUCGAACGGCUGGAGUUGUUUGAUGAAUUCGAAGAGUGGUACAUGAUGCAGGAGCACUACUGUGUGGCAUAUGCAAUCAAUGAUGGCAUGGGUCUUUUUGGGGAUUUUGGUUUCGUUAAUGACAGCAGUGAGC